rnacentral:rRNA from 1 species
GGGUUGUGAGGUUAAGCGACUAAGCGUACACGGUGGAUGCCCUGGCAGUCAGAGGCGAUGAAGGGCGUGCUAAUCUGCGAUAAGCGCCGGUAAGGUGAUAUGAACCGUUAUAACCGGCGAUACCCGAAUGGGGAAACCCAGUGUGAUUCGUCACACUAUCAUUAACUGAAUCCAUAGGUUAAUGAGGCGAACCGGGGGAACUGAAACAUCUAAGUACCCCGAGGAAAAGAAAUCAACCGAGAUUCCCCCAGUAGCGGCGAGCGAACGGGGAGGAGCCCAGAGCCUGAAUCAGCAUGUGUGUUAGUGGAAGCGUCUGGAAAGGCGCGCGAUACAGGGUGACAGCCCCGUACACAAAAGCGCAUGUGCUGUGAGCUCGAUGAGUAGGGCGGGACACGUGGUAUCCUGUCUGAAUAUGGGGGGACCAUCCUCCAAGGCUAAAUACUCCUGACUGACCGAUAGUGAACCAGUACCGUGAGGGAAAGGCGAAAAGAACCCCGGCGAGGGGAGUGAAAAAGAACCUGAAACCGUGUACGUACAAGCAGUGGGAGCACGACUGCGUACCUUUUGUAUAAUGGGUCAGCGACUUAUAUUCUGUAGCAAGGUUAACCGAAUAGGGGAGCCGGAGGGAAACCGAGUCUUAAUUGGGCGUUAAGUUGCAGGGUAUAGACCCGAAACCCGGUGAUCUAGCCAUGGGCAGGUUGAAGGUUGGGUAACACUAACUGGAGGACCGAACCGACUAAUGUUGAAAAAUUAGCGGAUGACCUGUGGCUGGGGGUGAAAGGCCAAUCAAACCGGGAGAUAGCUGGUUCUCCCCGAAAGCUAUUUAGGUAGCGCCUCGUGAAUUCAUCUCCGGGGGUAGAGCACUGUUUCGGCUAGGGGGCCAUCCCGGCUUACCAACCCGAUGCAAACUGCGAAUACCGGAGAAUGUUAUCACGGGAGACACACGGCGGGUGCUAACGUCCGUCGUGAAGAGGGAAACAACCCAGACCGCCAGCUAAGGUCCCAAAGUCAUGGUUAAGUGGGAAACGAUGUGGGAAGGCCCAGACAGCCAGGAUGUUGGCUUAGAAGCAGCCAUCAUUUAAAGAAAGCGUAAUAGCUCACUGGUCGAGUCGGCCUGCGCGGAAGAUGUAACGGGGCUAAACCAUGCACCGAAGCUGCGGCAGCGACACUGUGUGUUGUUGGGUAGGGGAGCGUUCUGUAAGCCUGUGAAGGUGUGUCGUGAGGCAUGCUGGAGGUAUCAGAAGUGCGAAUGCUGACAUAAGUAACGAUAAAGCGGGUGAAAAGCCCGCUCGCCGGAAGACCAAGGGUUCCUGUCCAACGUUAAUCGGGGCAGGGUGAGUCGACCCCUAAGGCGAGGCCGAAAGGCGUAGUCGAUGGGAAACGGGUUAAUAUUCCCGUACUUGGUGUUACUGCGAAGGGGGGACGGAGAAGGCUAUGUUGGCCGGGCGACGGUUGUCCCGGUUUAAGCGUGUAGGUGUGUGUUCCAGGUAAAUCCGGUUCACUUUAACACUGAGGCGUGACGACGAGGCACUACGGUGCUGAAGCAACAAAUGCCCUGCUUCCAGGAAAAGCCUCUAAGCAUCAGGUAACAUCAAAUCGUACCCCAAACCGACACAGGUGGUCAGGUAGAGAAUACCAAGGCGCUUGAGAGAACUCGGGUGAAGGAACUAGGCAAAAUGGUGCCGUAACUUCGGGAGAAGGCACGCUGACACGUAGGUGAAGUGAUUUACUCAUGGAGCUGAAGUCAGUCGAAGAUACCAGCUGGCUGCAACUGUUUAUUAAAAACACAGCACUGUGCAAACACGAAAGUGGACGUAUACGGUGUGACGCCUGCCCGGUGCCGGAAGGUUAAUUGAUGGGGUCAGCGCAAGCGAAGCUCCUGAUCGAAGCCCCGGUAAACGGCGGCCGUAACUAUAACGGUCCUAAGGUAGCGAAAUUCCUUGUCGGGUAAGUUCCGACCUGCACGAAUGGCGUAAUGAUGGCCAGGCUGUCUCCACCCGAGACUCAGUGAAAUUGAACUCGCUGUGAAGAUGCAGUGUACCCGCGGCAAGACGGAAAGACCCCGUGAACCUUUACUAUAGCUUGACACUGAACAUUGAGCCUUGAUGUGUAGGAUAGGUGGGAGGCUUUGAAGUGUGGACGCCAGUCUGCAUGGAGCCGACCUUGAAAUACCACCCUUUAAUGUUUGAUGUUCUAACGUGGACCCGUUACCCGGGUUGCGGACAGUGUCUGGUGGGUAGUUUGACUGGGGCGGUCUCCUCCUAAAGAGUAACGGAGGAGCACGAAGGUUGGCUAAUCCUGGUCGGACAUCAGGAGGUUAGUGCAAUGGCAUAAGCCAGCUUGACUGCGAGCGUGACGGCGCGAGCAGGUGCGAAAGCAGGUCAUAGUGAUCCGGUGGUUCUGAAUGGAAGGGCCAUCGCUCAACGGAUAAAAGGUACUCCGGGGAUAACAGGCUGAUACCGCCCAAGAGUUCAUAUCGACGGCGGUGUUUGGCACCUCGAUGUCGGCUCAUCACAUCCUGGGGCUGAAGUAGGUCCCAAGGGUAUGGCUGUUCGCCAUUUAAAGUGGUACGCGAGCUGGGUUUAGAACGUCGUGAGACAGUUCGGUCCCUAUCUGCCGUGGGCGCUGGAGAACUGAGGGGGGCUGCUCCUAGUACGAGAGGACCGGAGUGGACGCAUCACUGGUGUUCGGGUUGUCAUGCCAAUGGCACUGCCCGGUAGCUAAAUGCGGAAGAGAUAAGUGCUGAAAGCAUCUAAGCACGAAACUUGCCCCGAGAUGAGUUCUCCCUGAGACUUAGAGUCUCCUGAAGGAACGUUGAAGACGACGACGUUGAUAGGCCGGGUGUGUAAGCGCAGCGAUGCGUUGAGCUAACCGGUACUAAUGAACCGUGAGGCUUAACCUUACAACGCCGAAG